UGGGGAAUAUUGCACAAUGGGCGAAAGCCUGAUGCAGCGACGCCGCGUGAGUGAAGAAGGCCUUCGGGUCGUAAAACUCUGUCCUUGGUGAAGAAAAAAAUGACGGUAGCCAAGGAGGAAGCCCCGGCUAACUACGUGCCAGCAGCCGCGGUAAUACGUAGGGGGCGAGCGUUGUCCGGAUUUACUGGGCGUAAAGGGUGAGUAGGCGGUUGUAUAAGUCAGAUGUAAAAGGCGCAGGCUUAACUUGUGUAAGCAUUUGAAACUGUACAACUUGAGUGCAGGAGAGGUAAGUGGAAUUCCUAGUGUAGCGGUGAAAUGCGUAGAUAUUAGGAGGAACACCAGUGGCGAAGGCGACUUACUGGACUGUAACUGACGCUGAGUCACGAAAGCGUGGGUAGCAAACA
rnacentral:rRNA from 1 species